rnacentral:rRNA from 1 species
GGGUUGUGAGGUUAAGCGACUAAGCGUACACGGUGGAUGCCCUGGCAGUCAGAGGCGAUGAAGGGCGUACUAAUCUGCGAUAAGCGCCGGUAAGGUGAUAUGAACCGUUAUAACCGGCGAUACCCGAAUGGGGAAACCCAGUGUGAUUCGUCACACUAUCAUUAACUGAAUCCAUAGGUUAAUGAGGCGAACCGGGGGAACUGAAACAUCUAAGUACCCCGAGGAAAAGAAAUCAACCGAGAUUCCCCCAGUAGCGGCGAGCGAACGGGGAGGAGCCCAGAGCCUGAAUCAGCAUGUGUGUUAGUGGAAGCGUCUGGAAAGGCGCGCGAUACAGGGUGACAGCCCCGUACACAAAAGCGCAUGUGCUGUGAGCUCGAUGAGUAGGGCGGGACACGUGGUAUCCUGUCUGAAUAUGGGGGGACCAUCCUCCAAGGCUAAAUACUCCUGACUGACCGAUAGUGAACCAGUACCGUGAGGGAAAGGCGAAAAGAACCCCGGCGAGGGGAGUGAAAAAGAACCUGAAACCGUGUACGUACAAGCAGUGGGAGCACAGGUUUACCUGUGUGACUGCGUACCUUUUGUAUAAUGGGUCAGCGACUUAUAUUCUGUAGCAAGGUUAACCGAAUAGGGGAGCCGGAGGGAAACCGAGUCUUAAUUGGGCGUUAAGUUGCAGGGUAUAGACCCGAAACCCGGUGAUCUAGCCAUGGGCAGGUUGAAGGUUGGGUAACACUAACUGGAGGACCGAACCGACUAAUGUUGAAAAAUUAGCGGAUGACCUGUGGCUGGGGGUGAAAGGCCAAUCAAACCGGGAGAUAGCUGGUUCUCCCCGAAAGCUAUUUAGGUAGCGCCUCGUGAAUUCAUCUCCGGGGGUAGAGCACUGUUUCGGCUAGGGGGCCAUCCCGGCUUACCAACCCGAUGCAAACUGCGAAUACCGGAGAAUGUUAUCACGGGAGACACACGGCGGGUGCUAACGUCCGUCGUGAAGAGGGAAACAACCCAGACCGCCAGCUAAGGUCCCAAAGUCAUGGUUAAGUGGGAAACGAUGUGGGAAGGCCCAGACAGCCAGGAUGUUGGCUUAGAAGCAGCCAUCAUUUAAAGAAAGCGUAAUAGCUCACUGGUCGAGUCGGCCUGCGCGGAAGAUGUAACGGGGCUAAACCAUGCACCGAAGCUGCGGCAGCGACACUGUGUGUUGUUGGGUAGGGGAGCGUUCUGUAAGCCUGCGAAGGUGGCCUGUGAGGGUUGCUGGAGGUAUCAGAAGUGCGAAUGCUGACAUAAGUAACGAUAAAGCGGGUGAAAAGCCCGCUCGCCGGAAGACCAAGGGUUCCUGUCCAACGUUAAUCGGGGCAGGGUGAGUCGACCCCUAAGGCGAGGCCGAAAGGCGUAGUCGAUGGGAAACGGGUUAAUAUUCCCGUACUUGGUGUUACUGCGAAGGGGGGACGGAGAAGGCUAUGUUGGCCGGGCGACGGUUGUCCCGGUUUAAGCGUGUAGGUGUGUGUUCCAGGUAAAUCCGGUUCACUUUAACACUGAGGCGUGACGACGAGGCACUACGGUGCUGAAGCAACAAAUGCCCUGCUUCCAGGAAAAGCCUCUAAGCAUCAGGUAACAUCAAAUCGUACCCCAAACCGACACAGGUGGUCAGGUAGAGAAUACCAAGGCGCUUGAGAGAACUCGGGUGAAGGAACUAGGCAAAAUGGUGCCGUAACUUCGGGAGAAGGCACGCUGACACGUAGGUGAAGUGAUUUACUCAUGGAGCUGAAGUCAGUCGAAGAUACCAGCUGGCUGCAACUGUUUAUUAAAAACACAGCACUGUGCAAACACGAAAGUGGACGUAUACGGUGUGACGCCUGCCCGGUGCCGGAAGGUUAAUUGAUGGGGUCAGCGCAAGCGAAGCUCCUGAUCGAAGCCCCGGUAAACGGCGGCCGUAACUAUAACGGUCCUAAGGUAGCGAAAUUCCUUGUCGGGUAAGUUCCGACCUGCACGAAUGGCGUAAUGAUGGCCAGGCUGUCUCCACCCGAGACUCAGUGAAAUUGAACUCGCUGUGAAGAUGCAGUGUACCCGCGGCAAGACGGAAAGACCCCGUGAACCUUUACUAUAGCUUGACACUGAACAUUGAGCCUUGAUGUGUAGGAUAGGUGGGAGGCUUUGAAGUGUGGACGCCAGUCUGCAUGGAGCCGACCUUGAAAUACCACCCUUUAAUGUUUGAUGUUCUAACGUGGACCCGUUACCCGGGUUGCGGACAGUGUCUGGUGGGUAGUUUGACUGGGGCGGUCUCCUCCUAAAGAGUAACGGAGGAGCACGAAGGUUGGCUAAUCCUGGUCGGACAUCAGGAGGUUAGUGCAAUGGCAUAAGCCAGCUUGACUGCGAGCGUGACGGCGCGAGCAGGUGCGAAAGCAGGUCAUAGUGAUCCGGUGGUUCUGAAUGGAAGGGCCAUCGCUCAACGGAUAAAAGGUACUCCGGGGAUAACAGGCUGAUACCGCCCAAGAGUUCAUAUCGACGGCGGUGUUUGGCACCUCGAUGUCGGCUCAUCACAUCCUGGGGCUGAAGUAGGUCCCAAGGGUAUGGCUGUUCGCCAUUUAAAGUGGUACGCGAGCUGGGUUUAGAACGUCGUGAGACAGUUCGGUCCCUAUCUGCCGUGGGCGCUGGAGAACUGAGGGGGGCUGCUCCUAGUACGAGAGGACCGGAGUGGACGCAUCACUGGUGUUCGGGUUGUCAUGCCAAUGGCACUGCCCGGUAGCUAAAUGCGGAAGAGAUAAGUGCUGAAAGCAUCUAAGCACGAAACUUGCCCCGAGAUGAGUUCUCCCUGAGACUUAGAGUCUCCUGAAGGAACGUUGAAGACGACGACGUUGAUAGGCCGGGUGUGUAAGCGCAGCGAUGCGUUGAGCUAACCGGUACUAAUGAACCGUGAGGCUUAACCUUACAACGCCGAAG